rnacentral:rRNA from 1 species
GACGAACGCUGGCGGCGUGCUUAACACAUGCAAGUCGAACGGAAAGGCCCUGCUUUUGUGGGGUGCUCGAGUGGCGAACGGGUGAGUAACACGUGAGUAACCUGCCCUUGACUUUGGGAUAACUUCAGGAAACUGGGGCUAAUACCGGAUAGGAGCUCCUGCCGCCUGGUGGGGGUUGGAAAGUUUCGGCGGUUGGGGAUGGACUCGCGGCUUAUCAGCUUGUUGGUGGGGUAGUGGCUUACCAAGGCUUUGACGGGUAGCCGGCCUGAGAGGGUGACCGGCCACAUUGGGACUGAGAUACGGCCCAGACUCCUACGGGAGGCAGCAGUGGGGAAUAUUGCACAAUGGGCGGAAGCCUGAUGCAGCAACGCCGCGUGCGGGAUGACGGCCUUCGGGUUGUAAACCGCUUUCGCCUGUGACGAAGCGUGAGUGACGGUAAUGGGUAAAGAAGCACCGGCUAACUACGUG